AUUGAACGCUGGCGGCAGGCUUAACACAUGCAAGUCGAGCGGAGAUGAGGUGCUUGCACCUUAUCUUAGCGGCGGACGGGUGAGUAAUGCUUAGGAAUCUGCCUAUUUGUGGGGGACAACAUUCCGAAAGGAAUGCUAAUACCGCAUACGUCCUACGGGAGAAAGCAAGGGAUCUUCGGACCUUGCGCUAAUAGAUGAGCCUAAGUCGGAUUAGCUCGUUGGUGGGGUAAAGGCCUACCAGGGCGACGAUCUGUAGCGGUUCUGAGAGGAGGAUCCGCCACACUGGGACUGAGACACGGCCCAGACUCCUACGGGAGGCAGCAGUGGGGAAUAUUGGACAAUGGGGGGAACCCUGAUCCAGCCAUGCCGCGUGUGUGAAGAAGGCCUUAUGGUUAUAAAGCACUUUAAGCGAGGAGGAGGCCACUGAGACUAAUACUCUUGGAUAGUGGACGUUACUCGCAGAAUAAGCACCGGCUAACUCUGUGCCAGCCGCCGCGGUAA
rnacentral:rRNA from 1 species